rnacentral:other from 1 species
UAAAUCCUGAGACAUACGAUAAGGCUUUCUUAAAUUCAACCGACAAAUGUUAAACGGGAGACUGAGUCUAGGUACUGAUAAUAUGCCCUAAAAUUUUAGGGAAAUUAGAUGCACCUAGCAGGUCACCCACCUGGGAGUAUCUCGGGUCUGAAUUUAUGGGGCCACCGGUGUUUUGGGGUAUUA